rnacentral:ncRNA from 2 species
AGAGAUCUUCGGGGUAGGGUGAAAUUCCCGACCGGCGGUGAGGUUUCGGCAAGAGGGAACCGCAGCCCGCGACUCGCAGAUGGCCUUCACGGCCCGAAGCGACUGACUUGGUGAGAAUCCAAGGCCGACGGUAAAGUCCGGAUGGGAGGAGAUCAAU